rnacentral:piRNA from 1 species
UAUUAGUAUUUGAUGUAGUAUAAAUGUAUGU